UCUCGGGCUGCGCGCGGAGCCGGGGACCUGCGAUGCAGGAGCCCCGGGCGCGGCCCAGGCGCGCACCAGGCAGGCGGCGCAGGCGGCGGCGAGCAGCAGCAGCGCGGCGCUCACGGCCCAGGGCAGCGGGUGGCAGGAGCGGCCCGAGGGCGCGAGCGGCCGCUGAGCUUCGGGGUCCGGGGCGGCGUAGGUGCUGGAGUGCAUGGCCGGCUGCGGGCGGCUGCGGUCCGAGGCCGCUGCACCGCGCUUUAUAUGCAAUCCCGAAGCCCCCCUUUCCGGGGUGUGGCCCGUGGGGAUCCCAGAGAUCCGCCCGGUGCUGAACGUUUCCGUUUUACCAGCGGUUUAUAAAGCACAAGGCCCAGACCAGCAUCACCUGGGAACUUGCUAGCUCUGCAAAUUCUAGCACCUCACCCGAGACCUACUGACAUUCUGAGAGUGGAAGCCCUGCAAUCAGUGUCUGAAGGAGCGUUCCAGAAGAUUCUGACACUUGCCCAAGUUGGAGAAUCCACUGCAUGGUACCAAGGUUGUUCCUUCACACCUGCUGUCCCCCUGCCUGGAAUGUUCUUUCCCCAGAUCUGCGGCCAGCUGUCCUUCUGAGUAAAGAGGAUGAAUUAAGCUCCGGCCCCUACUUUCACUCUCUCCCCAAACCCCACUGCAGUGAUAGUAUAAGCGACUGUUUUAAAAGCUACACCAAAAAUUGUAAGCCAUCGGGGUGGAAUGCCAAAUAUAAUUUCCCUAGCCAAAUGCCACAAUCA